UACGUAGGGGCCAAGCGUUGUCCGGAUUUAUUGGGCGUAAAGCGCGCGCAGGUGGUCUCUUAAGUCUGAUGUGAAAGCCCACGGCUCAACCGUGGAAGGUCAUUGGAAACUGGGAGACUUGAGUGUAGGAGAGGAAAGUGGAAUUCCACGUGUAGCGGUGAAAUGCGUAGAGAUGUGGAGGAACACCAGUGGCGAAGGCGACUUUCUGGCCUAUAACUGACGCUGAGGCGCGAAAGAGUGGGGAGCAAACAGG
rnacentral:rRNA from 1 species